UAAGUUAGAAAGGGCGCACGGUGGAUGCCUUGACACUAGGAGUCGAUGAAGGACGGGACUAACGCCGAUAUGCUUCGGGGAGCUGUAAGUAAGCUUUGAUCCGAAGAUUUCCGAAUGGGGAAACCCACCAUACGUAAUGGUAUGGUAUCCUUAUCUGAAUACAUAGGGUAAGGAAGACAGACCCAGGGAACUGAAACAUCUAAGUACCUGGAGGAAGAGAAAGCAAAUGCGAUUUCCUGAGUAGCGGCGAGCGAAACGGAACAUAGCCCAAACCAAGAGGCUUGCCUCUUGGGGUUGUAGGACAUUCUAUACGGAGUUACAAAGGAACGAGGUAGACGAAGCGACCUGGAAAGGUCCGUCGUAGAGGGUAACAACCCCGUAGUCGAAACUUCGUUCUCUCUUGAAUGUAUCCUGAGUACGGCGGAACACGUGAAAUUCCGUCGGAAUCUGGGAGGACCAUCUCCCAAGGCUAAAUACUCCCUAGUGAUCGAUAGUGAACCAGUACCGUGAGGGAAAGGUGAAAAGCACCCCGGAAGGGGAGUGAAAGAGAUCCUGAAACCGUGUGCCUACAAAUAGUCAGAGCCCGUUAACGGGUGAUGGCGUGCCUUUUGUAGAAUGAACCGGCGAGUUACGAUCCCGUGCGAGGUUAAGCUGAAGAGGCGGAGCCGCAGCGAAAGCGAGUCUGAAUAGGGCGUUUAGUACGUGGUCGUAGACCCGAAACCAGGUGAUCUACCCAUGUCCAGGGUGAAGUUCAGGUAACACUGAAUGGAGGCCCGAACCCACGCACGUUGAAAAGUGCGGGGAUGAGGUGUGGGUAGCGGAGAAAUUCCAAUCGAACCUGGAGAUAGCUGGUUCUCCCCGAAAUAGCUUUAGGGCUAGCCUUAAGUGUAAGAGUCUUGGAGGUAGAGCACUGAUUGGACUAGGGGUCCUCAUCGGAUUACCGAAUUCAGUCAAACUCCGAAUGCCAAUGACUUAUCCUUAGGAGUCAGACUGCGAGUGAUAAGAUCCGUAGUCAAAAGGGAAACAGCCCAGACCGCCAGCUAAGGUCCCAAAGUGUGUAUUAAGUGGAAAAGGAUGUGGAGUUGCUUAGACAACUAGGAUGUUGGCUUAGAAGCAGCCACCAUUUAAAGAGUGCGUAAUAGCUCACUAGUCGAGUGACUCUGCGCCGAAAAUGUACCGGGGCUAAAUACACCACCGAAGCUGCGGAUUGAUACCAAUGGUAUCAGUGGUAGGGGAGCGUUCUAAGGACAGUGAAGUCAGACCGGAAGGACUGGUGGAGUGCUUAGAAGUGAGAAUGCCGGUAUGAGUAGCGAAAGACGGGUGAGAAUCCCGUCCACCGAAUGCCUAAGGUUUCCUGAGGAAGGCUCGUCCGCUCAGGGUUAGUCAGGACCUAAGCCGAGGCCGACAGGCGUAGGCGAUGGACAACAGGUUGAUAUUCCUGUACCACCUCUUUAUCGUUUGAGCAAUGGAGGGACGCAGAAGGAUAGAAGAAGCGUGCGAUUGGUUGUGCACGUCCAAGCAGUUAGGCUGAUAAGUAGGCAAAUCCGCUUAUCGUAAAGGCUGAGCUGUGAUGGGGAAGCUCCUUAUGGAGCGAAGUCUUUGAUUCCCCGCUGCCAAGAAAAGCUUCUAGCGAGAUAAAAGGUGCCUGUACCGCAAACCGACACAGGUAGGCGAGGAGAGAAUCCUAAGGUGUGCGAGAGAACUCUGGUUAAGGAACUCGGCAAAAUGACCCCGUAACUUCGGGAGAAGGGGUGCUUUCUUAACGGAAAGCCGCAGUGAAUAGGCCCAAGCGACUGUUUAGCAAAAACACAGCUCUCUGCGAAGCCGUAAGGCGAAGUAUAGGGGGUGACACCUGCCCGGUGCUGGAAGGUUAAGGAGAGGGGUUAGCGUAAGCGAAGCUCUGAACUGAAGCCCCAGUAAACGGCGGCCGUAACUAUAACGGUCCUAAGGUAGCGAAAUUCCUUGUCGGGUAAGUUCCGACCCGCACGAAAGGUGUAACGAUUUGGGCACUGUCUCAACCAGAGACUCGGUGAAAUUAUAGUACCUGUGAAGAUGCAGGUUACCCGCGACAGGACGGAAAGACCCCGUGGAGCUUUACUGUAGCCUGAUAUUGAAUUUUGGUACAGUUUGUACAGGAUAGGCGGGAGCCUUUGAAACCGGAGCGCUAGCUUCGGUGGAGGCGCUGGUGGGAUACCGCCCUGACUGUAUUGAAAUUCUAACCUACGGGUCUUAUCGACCCGGGAGACAGUGUCAGGUGGGCAGUUUGACUGGGGCGGUCGCCUCCUAAAGUGUAACGGAGGCGCCCAAAGGUUCCCUCAGAAUGGUUGGAAAUCAUUCGUAGAGUGCAAAGGCAUAAGGGAGCUUGACUGCGAGACCUACAAGUCGAGCAGGGACGAAAGUCGGGCUUAGUGAUCCGGUGGUUCCGCAUGGAAGGGCCAUCGCUCAACGGAUAAAAGCUACCCCGGGGAUAACAGGCUUAUCUCCCCCAAGAGUCCACAUCGACGGGGAGGUUUGGCACCUCGAUGUCGGCUCAUCGCAUCCUGGGGCUGUAGUCGGUCCCAAGGGUUGGGCUGUUCGCCCAUUAAAGCGGUACGCGAGCUGGGUUCAGAACGUCGUGAGACAGUUCGGUCCCUAUCCGUCGUGGGCGUAGGAAAUUUGAGAGGAGCUGUCCUUAGUACGAGAGGACCGGGAUGGACGCACCGCUGGUGUACCAGUUGUUCUGCCAAGGGCAUAGCUGGGUAGCUAUGUGCGGAAGGGAUAAGUGCUGAAAGCAUCUAAGCAUGAAGCCCCCCUCAAGAUGAGAUUUCCCAUAGCGUAAGCUAGUAAGAUCCCUGAAAGAUGAUCAGGUUGAUAGGUUCGAGGUGGAAGCAUGGUGACAUGUGGAGCUGACGAAUACUAAUAGAUCGAGGACUUAACCA
rnacentral:rRNA from 4 species